rnacentral:rRNA from 1 species
CCUACGUGAGGCAGCAGUGGGGAAUAUUGCGCAAUGGGCGAAAGCCUGACGCAGCGACGCCGCGUGAGGGAUGAAGGUCUUCGGAUCGUAAACCUCUGUCAGCAGGGAAGAACGGUCACUGUGCUAAUCAGCAGUGAAUUGACGGUACCUGCAAAGGAAGCACCGGCGAACUCCGUGCCAGCAGCCGCGGUAAUACGGAGGGUGCGAGCGUUAAUCGGAAUUACUGGGCGUAAAGCGCUCGUAGGCGGUAUGUCAAGUCAAGGGUGAAAUCCCCGCGCUCAACGUGGGAACUGCCUUUGAAACUGGCAAACUGGAGUGUGUGAGAGGAUAGUGGAAUUCCAGGUGUAGGAGUGAAAUCCGUAGAUAUCUGGAGGAACAUCAGUGGCGAAGGCGACUAUCUGGCACAUAACUGACGCUGAGGAGCGAAAGCGUGGGUAGCAAACAGGAUUAGAUACCCCAGUAGUC